rnacentral:rRNA from 1 species
AUUGAACGCUGGCGGCAUGCUUUACACAUGCAAGUCGAACGGUAACAGGCCGCAAGGUGCUGACGAGUGGCGAACGGGUGAGUAAUGCAUCGGAACGUGCCCAGUCGUGGGGGAUAACGCAGCGAAAGCUGCGCUAAUACCGCAUACGAUCUAUGGAUGAAAGCGGGGGACCGUAAGGCCUCGCGCGAUUGGAGCGGCCGAUGUCAGAUUAGGUAGUUGGUGGGGUAAAGGCUCACCAAGCCAACGAUCUGUAGCUGGUCUGAGAGGACGACCAGCCACACUGGGACUGUGACACGGCCCAGACUCCUACGGGAGGCAGCAGUGGGGAAUUUUGGACAAUGGGCGCAAGCCUGAUCCAGCAAUGCCGCGUGCAGGAAGAAGGCCUUCGGGUUGUAAACUGCUUUUGUACGGAACGAAACGGUCCUGGUUAAUACCUGGGGCUAAUGACGGUACCGUAAGAAUAAGCACCGGCUAACUCUGUGCCAGCCGCCGCGGUAAAAC